rnacentral:sRNA from 1 species
AAAUUUUUGUUUAACAAGUAAGGGAUUGGGUAAAAAAUUCAAAGAUAUCCGCAUUUUCUAUAUUUUCCGCUUGAGUAAUAUAAUAUUUACAAAGUGUAUAAAAAUUAUCCAAAAUUUCUUCAUAUACUUCAUAAAAACUAUU